rnacentral:lncRNA from 1 species
AUGUUUACAUGUUGAACCAAUCGAUAUCGAUACAAUCUCACCCGUUUGAUGUAUCGAAUACGAUCUAUUGGCGAUAGCGAUACGAUAAGCUUAUCGCAAAUCGCAAGCAUGGCCGCACGCAGUGGUCGCUGAUCUAUGAGAUGCGUACUCUGGAGGCAUCAGGUCAACUGAUGGUUACCCGAUGGGUACCGUUGAGAGUUUGACGAUCGUUCUCUAGGACUUGCUGACUUCUCGCUAAUUGCCCGAUGACUGUCAUGGCGGGCCAUCGGCCAACGCAAUCGCCCAGCACCUUUCAAAGGUGAUGGGCAAGGCCGCUGAGCGUUGAGAUAACCUCAAUGUCUUUUUAAAUAGUAAACAAUACAAAACCUGAGCCGCCAUGACAGUCACAUGACGAAAGUUGGUUUGCAGUUGGUCAUCGGGCAAUUCACGAAAAUCAGUCAUCGAAUUUCUCUGAUGCCUCCAAAGAACGCAUCUAUGAUUUCUUCCCGAGCACGAGCAUGUGAUUUCACAGUAAAGUUUUAAGAAUAAGCGCCCUCGGUAACAGUUUUCUGCAUUUUAAUUUUACAAAACGUGCACCUAACUUGUGAAGUUGAAAAUUAAAUUCGUAAGUAAGAUGUCUUCCAUUCUCCGCUCGACGAUUUAUUUCCGGCAGUAUCUUAACCUCAAUCGUUCCCUAGCCGUAGCUAUUUCACCAACGAAGUUUCCUUAUAUCACCAGGAAAACCAUACUUACUCCCAUCGUUUGCUCUUCAUCGGAAAGUGUAAGGAGUUACUUUGACGCUGCAAAUGUGUCUAUUAGUUCUGUUUUGAACAGAGUGGACACCUCUGUAAGGCGAAAGUUUAGAGUCACAGAGAUAGACUUAAAUAAUAUACUUGAACUCCUCAAACACCAGUGCUCGGUCACUCCAUCUGAAGCUGUGUUGAUUCUGCGGAGUUGUGGAAGUCUCUUGGCGGAAGUACUCCCAGAACAGAGGCGAAAGCUUGUUGAGGAACUGCUGGAAAUUUUCAAAAGAUUGGUAAGUAGCAUCUCAUUUACUGUAAGCCAUUGAGCUGUAAUGCUGAAAAUAUUUAUCUGAUGAUUUGCCAAUAAUUUUGAUAU